rnacentral:rRNA from 1 species
CAGCCGCCGCGGUAAAACGAACCGUGCGAACGUUAUUCGGAAUUACUGGGCUUAAAGCGCGUGUAGGCGGGUCGGCACGUCGGUCGCUGAAAUCCCCCGGCUCAACCGGGGAAGUGGCGCCGAUACGGCCGGCCUGGAGGGGGGUAGGGGGGUCUGGAACUUCCGGUGGAGCGGUGAAAUGCGUUGAGAUCGGAAGGAACGCCCGUGGCGAAAGCGAGACCCUGGACCCUUACUGACGCUGAGACGCGAAAGCCAGGGGAGCGAACGGGAUUAGAUACCCCAGUAGUCCCUGUCUCUUAUA